rnacentral:rRNA from 1 species
GUGGGGAAUAUUGGGCAAUGGGCGAAAGCCUGACCCAGCAACGCCGCGUGAGGGAAGAAGGCCUUCGGGUUGUAAACCUCUGUCCUUGGUGACGAAGAAAGUGACGGUAGCCAAGGAGGAAGCCCCGGCUAACUACGUGCCAGCAGCCGCGGUAAUACGUAGGGGGCGAGCGUUGUCCGGAAUUACUGGGCGUAAAGGGUGCGUAGGUGGCCUUUUAAGUUGGAUGUGAAAUACCCGGGCUUAACUUGGGGGGUGCAUCUAAUACUGGGAGGCUAGAGUGCAGGAGAGGGAAGCGGAAUUCCUAGUGUAGCGGUGAAAUGCGUAGAUAUUAGGAGGAACACCAGUGGCGAAGGCGGCUUUCUGGACUGUAACUGACACUGAGGCACGAAAGCGUGGGGAGCAAACAGGAUUAGAUACCCCUGUAGUCC